rnacentral:miRNA from 1 species
GCAGGCCCAGUUAAAUAAAUUUCAGAGCAAUUACAAUCAUUUGGUAGUACAAGUACAUCCCGGCAAUAUUUGGGAUAUAUUUAUGCUAAAAAAGUUUAUUUGUUGUUGAUCUGAAAUUCAAAUUUAACCA